GACGAACGCUGACGGCAUGCUUAACACAUGCAAGUCGAAGGGAGUGGCGAACGGGUGAGUAACACGUGAGUAACCUGCCCUUUUCUUUGUGAUCAGCCUGGGAAAUUGGUUCUAAUACUUGAUGGAUUGCGAUGGGCUCGCGGCUUAUCAGCUUGUUGGUGGGGUGAGGGCGUACCAAGGCUUUGACGGGUAGCCGGCCUGAGAGGGUGGUAGGUCACACUGGGACUGAGAUACGGCCCAGACUCCUACGGGAGGCAGCAGUGGGGGAUAUUGACCGAUGGACGAAAGCCUGACGGAGCAACGCGGCGUGUGGGAUGAAGGUCUUCGGAUUGUAAAACUCUGUUAUUAGGGAAGCGGUACCGAAUCAGGAAGCCACGGCUAACUACGUGCCAGCAGCCGCGGUAAUAC
rnacentral:rRNA from 1 species